GAUGAACGCUGGCGGCGUGCCUAAUACAUGCAAGUCGAGCGAACGGACGAGAAGCUUGCUUCUCUGAUGUUAGCGGCGGACGGGUGAGUAACACGUGGAUAACCUACCUAUAAGACUGGGAUAACUUCGGGAAACCGGAGAUAAUACCGGAUAAUAUGUUGAACCGCAUGGUUCAAAAGUGAAAGACGGUCUUGCUGUCACUUAUAGAUGGAUCCGCGCUGCAUUAGCUAGUUGGUAAGGUAACGGCUUACCAAGGCAACGAUGCAUAGCCGACCUGAGAGGGUGAUCGGCCACACUGGAACUGAGACACGGUCCAGACUCCUACGGGAGGCAGCAGUAGGGAAUCUUCCGCAAUGGGCGAAAGCCUGACGCAGCAACGCCGCGUGAGUGAUGAAGGUCUUCGGAUCGUAAAGCUCUGUUAUUAGGGAAGAACAUCUGUGUAAGUAACUGUGCACAUCUUGACGGUACCUAAUCAGAAAGCCCCGGCUAACUACGUG
rnacentral:rRNA from 1 species